rnacentral:rRNA from 1 species
GGGGGGGGGGGGGGGGGGGGGGGGGGGGGGGGGGGCGGGGGGGGGGAGGGGGGGGGGGCGGCGCUGACGGGAGCGGGGGACGGGUGGGGGCGGGGUGGAUAGCCGACCUAUAAGACUUGGAUACCUUCGGGACACCGGGGCUGAUACCGCGUACUAUCUUUAGCCGCCUGGUUCAGUCGGUCAGACCUUUUUUUCUGUCCCUUAUAACUGAGACCGCGCCGCAUUAGCUAGUUGGUAAGGUAACGGAUUACGCAUGCGAUGCUGCGUAGCAGACCUAAGAGGGUGAUAGGACACACUGCAACUGAGACACGGUCCAGAGUCCUACGGGAGGCAGCAUUAGGGAAUCUUCCGCAAUGGGCGAAAGCCUGACGGAGCAACGCCGCGUGAGUGAUGAAGGUCUUCGGAUCGUAAAACUCUGUUAUUAGGGAAGAACAAAUGUGUAAGUAACUAUGCACGUCUUGACGGUACCUAAGCAGAAAGCCACGGCUAACUACGUG